GUGCACGCUGGCGGUAGGCCUAGCACAUGCAAGUCGCACGGCAGCACAGUAAGAGCUUGCUCUUACGGGUGGCGAGUGGCGGACGGGUGAGGAAUACAUCGGAAUCUACUUUUUCGUGGGGGAUAACGUAGGGAAACUUACGCUAAUACCGCAUACGACCUACGGGUGAAAGCAGGGGAUCUUCGGACCUUGCGCGAUUGAAUGAGCCGAUGUCGGAUUAGCUAGUUGGCGGGGUAAAGGCCCACCAAGGCGACGAUCCGUAGCUGGUCUGAGAGGAUGAUCAGCCACACUGGAACUGAGACACGGUCCAGACUCCUACGGGAGGCAGCAGUGGGGAAUAUUGGACAAUGGGCGCAAGCCUGAUCCAGCCAUACCGCGUGGGUGAAGAAGGCCUUCGGGUUGUAAAGCCCUUUUGUUGGGAAAGAAAAGCAGCAGGUUAAUACCCCGCUGUUCUGACGGUACCCAAAGAAUAAGCACCGGCUAACUUCGUG
rnacentral:rRNA from 1 species